rnacentral:rRNA from 1 species
UACGAAGGGGGCGAGCGUUGUUCGGAUUUACUGGGCGUAAAGGGCGCGCAGGCGGCUCAUUUUGUCAGGCGUGAAAGCCCCGGGCUUAACCUGGGAACUGCGUUUGAUACGGAUGGGCUAGAGUUCGGGAGAGGAUAGUGGAAUUCCCAGUGUAGAGGUGAAAUUCGUAGAUAUUGGGAAGAACACCAGCGGCGAAGGCGGCUAUCUGGACCACAACUGACGCUGAGUGCGCGAAAGCCAGGGGAGCAAACGGG